CGCCCCCUAGCGGGCGGCGGCGCACAGGGACCGCCCCCAGCCUGGCGCCGCCGCCGCCGCCGCCCGCCUCAGCCCAACAUGGCGAUGCACAACAAGGCGGCGCCGCCGCAGAUCCCGGACACCCGGCGGGAGCUAGCGGAGCUCGUGAAGCGGAAGCAGGAGCUGGCGGAAACACUGGCCAACUUGGAGAGACAGAUCUAUGCCUUUGAAGGAAGCUACCUGGAAGACACUCAGAUGUAUGGCAAUAUUAUUCGUGGCUGGGAUCGGUAUCUGACCAACCAGAAAAACUCCAAUAGCAAAAACGAUCGAAGGAACCGGAAGUUUAAGGAAGCUGAGCGGCUCUUCAGUAAAUCCUCAGUUACUUCAGCAGCUGCAGUAAGUGCGUUGGCAGGAGUUCAGGAUCAGCUCAUUGAAAAGAGGGAACCAGGAAGUGGGACGGAAAGUGAUACUUCUCCAGACUUCCACAAUCAGGAGAAUGAGCCCAGCCAGGAGGACCCUGAGGAUCUGGAUGGAUCUGUGCAGGGAGUGAAGCCUCAGAAGGCUGCUUCUUCUACUUCCUCAGGGAGUCAUCACAGCAGCCAUAAAAAACGAAAGAAUAAAAACCGACACAGCCCGUCUGGCAUGUUUGAUUAUGACUUUGAGUAUGUAUAUUAGGUUAGGCUGGGAAGUUUUUUUUAAAAACAGAAAAACGUGAUGGAGGAUUGAUCUGAAGUUAAACAAAAAACCACGAGCUGAUUAUUAGAAGACUCAUUAGUGCAGAAGCUGCAGAAGCUUCCAGGCUGUAGAGCCCUGCUUCCCUCCUCCAACCUCACAAAGAUCCAUAUCCCUCACCUGAGUGCGCAGCCAUCCACCUCUGCUUUCCCAGACCCAGUGCCUGUGACUCUGAAUAGUUUGUUCUGAAACGUGGUGACAACUCAUUUCUGUAAGACCACAUUGGUUCAUUUACUCUGUGUCAUUUUUAGUAACAGAACUGCAAGAAGACCAAGACAUGGUUAUAAUUCCAGCAAGUUGCUAACUCUGCAUUUCUCCCUUCUUGGAAUGAAUGUGUCCCCCCCCCAAAACUGGCUGGCACCAGCUUCUUCUGUGAUACCCAUCAAGAAAUGUUCUCUGGUUUUGUUUUAUGCUGAAGGUAGAAUGUAGGUCAUGUUUCAGAGGGAGGCUGUAAAUAUCGGGCAUUUUCUUAUUUUGUUUGUGUUUUAUUAUUUUUCUAUUGUUUUUACCAUCUUCUUUUCUUUGGGGACUUUUUGUAAUGCCGUUGUACAGCACAUACCUUCCUGCCAACAUAUCUGAUCAUCUGCUUCGUGCAGUUGCCAGUAUUCUUAACUGAAAAGAAUCUGGUUUACUAUAAAGAAAAUGGGGAACUUGGCUCUGUGUUUUUGCAGGGGGAAGGUAAAGAGGGUUUAUUUAAUAAUUACCUAUCUUAAAUCUUUCUGCGUUGGAAGCAGUUUCAUGUUCAAGGAACAGGAAAAGCUGAAAAACCUAAGUUUAAAUCAAUCCUUUUAAAAUAGAUAUUUUUAUUCUUUUAUAUAAAUAAAAUUUCACAGGUGUUGACUUCUUAUGCUUUACUUUUAAACCUGAGAUUGUUUUUUUCACUUAUUUUAUUUAUUCGUAUCAUGCCUUAUGCAAAUCUCUUCCUUUUUCCACUUUUCUUUCUUUCCUGGUAUCUGCCUGAUUAAACAUUGCUCUAAAAAUCACUAAGGUAUAUGGAAAGGCUCAGCAUUACCCCCAGAGCUGGUAACGUUUAGAAUUCUUGAGGAGAGUGAGAGAUAGGAUCUGCGAGAGGCAGCGAUGCCCAGCAGACCCCCUACCUCACAGGGCUACUCUGGCUGGGGAGCUUGCCGGUUUAUCGAGCUGUUAAUCUGCCUCUGGAGUGGGGCUUGACCUCGGCUGCUCACGGGAGUCACCUGGGAAGCUUAAGGACCUGCUGGUGCCUGCGUCCCACCCCCAGAGACUCCCAACUGGGGUGUAGUCUAGUGGCUGGGAUUUCCUUCCAAAGAGUCCCUGGGAUUCUGAUGAGAAGCCAGGCUUGAGAACCACUGCAUGAGGAGUGUUUGAUUGAAAUCCUAUGUUGUGAAUCAGUCUAGGAGAUAAGAUUUGGGGCCCCAUCUUUCCUUUGAUGCUGUCUAGUCAUAGUCCUUGACUUAGGCCCAUAUCUUUGUUAGAACAAGUAUGUUCCAUUGUGAUAAUAUUGGUAGAGCUGAAUACGGAUGGCAUCUGUUAGCAGAACGAGUCUACCUUGUCAGAUGUGCGAAAGCUUUCACUCUUAUUCUCAAAUAAACUCUCUCUUUUUUUUUUUUUUUUUGGACUCUGUGGCUAAUUAGAUGUCUUUGGUAGCAAGAACUCCAAUGUUAAGGUUUUUAAGAAAAUAGUUUCUUAGAUUUAGAUUGAUCCUUAGAAAAAGGAAAAAAAAAAAAACAAUUAUAAAGCUUCAAACCAUGGGGACCAGCAGAUUUCUAUACCCUCCUUUGUCAGUUUCUCUCCUUUCCUGGGAGAGAAAAGUGGGGCUUCCUGUGGUCUCCGUGGCCUAGAGGAGAGCACACAGCAAACCUGAGAAUAUUUCUCUCAUAGUUUUGACAUUUGCUUGAGAUCUGGUGGGAUUGCUCUUAAAAAGUUAUAU